rnacentral:misc_RNA from 1 species
GAUGAAGAACGCAGCGAAAUGCGAUACGUAAUGUGAAUUGCAGAAUUCAGUGAAUCAUCGAAUCUUUGAACGCAUAUUGCGCUCUUUGGUAUUCCGAAGAGCAUGCUUGUUUGAGUAUCAGUAAACACCUCAAAGCUUUUGGAUUUUUUAAUCGAAAAGCUUUGGACUUGAGCAAUCCCAACACCAAUCUUUUUGAGAUCGGUGGCGGGUUGCUUGAAAUGCAGGUGCAGCUGGACAUUCUCCUGAGCUAAAAGCAUAUUCAUUUAGUCCCGUCAAACGGAUUAUUACUUUUGCUGCAGCUAACAUAAAGGGAGUUUGACCGUAUUGGCUGACUGAUGCAGGAUUUCACAAGGGUCGGCAACGAUUCUUGUUAAACUCGAUCUCAAAUCAAGUAAGACUUCCCGCUGAACUUAAGCAUAUCAAUAAGCGGAGGA